rnacentral:rRNA from 1 species
AAACGGUUGCUAAUACCGCAUAAUGCAGCGGCACCUAAUGGUGACAGUUGUUAAAGCGGGGGAUCGAAAGACCUCGCGUCUGAAAAGGAGCCUGCGGCGGAUUAGCUAGUUGGUAGGGUAAUGGCUUACCAAGGCUACGAUCCGUAGCCGGCCUGAGAGGGCGGUCGGCCACACUGACACUGACAUACGGGUCAGACUCCUACGGGAGGCAGCAGUCGGGAAUUUUGGGCAAUGGGCGAAAGCCUGACCCAGCAACGCCGCGUGAAGGAUGAAAUCCCUCGGGAUGUAAACUUCGCAAGAACGGGAAGAAUAAGUAGGGGACAAUAACCCCUAUGAUGACGGUACCGUUUGUAAGCUCCGGCUAACUCCGUGCCAACAC